AGACCAGGAGAAUGAUGAUUGACGGGGAGACGGGCAAACGGACCAUCGAACACUGGUGAAAACUCAGGAUGAGCGGUACAUAGAUCGGGGCGUCAGAACCUACACGUUCGCUCCGGUCAAUGGACAGAUUACAGCCUGGCUCUGGCUCUACCGAGAUACAGUGAGCA